rnacentral:rRNA from 1 species
AGAGUUUGAUCCUGGCUCAGAUUGAACGCUGGCGGAAUGCUUUACACAUGCAAGUCGAGCGGCAGCGCGGGGCAACCUGGCGGCGAGCGGCGAACGGGUGAGUAAUGCAUCGGAACAUGUCCAUGUCGUAGGGGAUAGCCCGGCGAAAGCCGGAUUAAUACCGCAUACGCCCGAGAGGGGAAAGCAGGGGACCGCAAGGCCUUGCGCGAUUGGGUUGGCCGAUGUCCGAUUAGCUUGUUGGUGAGGUAAAGGCUUACCAAGGCGAUGAUCGGUAGCUGGUCUGAGAGGAUGAUCAGCCACACUGGGACUGAGACACGGCCCAGACUCCUACGGGAGGCAGCAGUGGGGAAUUUUGGACAAUGGGGGCAACCCUGAUCCAGCCAUUCCGCGUGAGUGAAGAAGGCCUUCGGGUUGUAAAGCUCUUUUGUCCGGAGCGAAACGGGCGGCCCUAAUACGGUCGUCUACUGACGGUACCGGAAGAAUAAGCACCGGCUAACUACGUGCCAGCAGCCGCGGUAAUAA